UAUACAUACAUUAUCUAAAACAUGUAUCUUAACAAUUUACAUCAGGUUUGUUUAUACAUGUCAAAAAGAAGACUCGAUUUCCAACAGAGAGACUCAGACGAAUGUACAAUUACUGAAGGCCCAAACACCUACCAAGGAUCGAAUAUAUGAAGACACCUCGGCCUAGUUACAAACUACCUCUUGAUUUGAAAACAUGAAGUUGAAAACGGUGAGUAUAAACCUAGUGAGUGAACAAGGAAGGGAACAAGCAAACAAUAAGGAAGGUUUAAAGAAAAUCAUGAUGCAUUUAUCUUUAAAACAAUGCAAUUUAGUUUAGCUCUUAUCAAAACCCCUCAUGUAAACCCCAAAUGAGUAAAUCACUUGAUAAAAAGGGUCCAUGCUCAACAAAGGAUUUGAAAAGUGAAAACUCUAAUAGCAUUCCUGCAAUUCAAGUCAAGUAAACGAUGGGUCCUAGUUGCAGCGGAAAGACAUUAUCGUUGCAGCGAGACUCCGACCAGCAUUACCCCUCCAAAUUCGAGAGUUUCUCGCUGCAGCGAGAAAUAGAGCACCAUGAAAAAGUUUCCUUUCUUUCAAGAAAAAGCCAUCCUGCUAAAAUGACAAAAAAUCAACAUGAAAUGCAUAAUAAUUCCCAAAGUUCAACAUGCAAGAUUCACAUGUGCAACACUAUAUACCAUACUCAUGAGCUUUCUAUAACACACAUAUCUAUAUAUGUAUAUAUAUAUAUAUAUCCAUAACCAUACACACCCUCCCAUCAUCAUCAGCUCAUAUGCACUCCCACUAGCACAUGGCUGGGUCAACAUCGGCUUAUGCGUACUCUGACUCGCACAUAGCUAGGUCAGCAUCGGCUUAUGCGCACUCCCACUUGCACAUAGCCAGGUCAAUAUCAUUACACAACAUUAUUCGUAUACACACAUAUAUAUAUCAACACAGUAUAGGACCACAUAAGUUUGUCCUAUUACUCAUUUCACAUUUUCAUAACAUCAAAAUAUUUUAUCAAAGGCUUGUUCCCAAGGCACAUGUUUUUUAAGACAAGUUGGAAUAAAUCAUUCAAUGUUUCAUACCAAUACAAUUAUGUCUCCCAAAAUGAUUUUGAAAUGCAAGUUCACUCACCGGUAUUUUUUGAAUCUUUACUCGACUUCAACCUCCACUAAUGAUCCAAAUGGAACUGUGAGGCCUCAUUGGGACCUAUCAUCACAACAACAUCACAACCAACCCGAUUUGCAUAAUUAUAUUUCUAAAAGCUAUCCACUAAAUCAUGUUUUGCUAGUUGUUUUUAACUAGCUUCCAUCUACCAUCAAGUGACUAUAUAUUUUCACUAUUCUAGUCACACUACAAUGAAUAACCCACCUCAACUAGAAAACCCUCACCGAUCUAGCCACUAGCCAUUCUCAACAACUAAAAAAAAAUUAACUCAAUUUCACUACUCACCUUGGUAGCUUUGUAAUUGAAUUUCUUUCCCAAAAGCUUUCAAACUAUCAUGAAAAUCUCACUUUCUCUCUCUAAAACGUCCAACUAGUGAGAGAGUGUAACAAGGAAAGAUUUUUGAGGGUUUUUAUGGUGAGAAAGUAGAAAGUACAAAGAACUUUGGGAAAAGGUACACAAAAACAUGAAAAAUCAGGGUUAACUCAAGAAAAUAUAUGGAAAUUCAAGGCAAGCUUCCAUGGGGGGGUGAGAGAACGUGGGAGAGGAAGGAGAAGAAGAAGAAG
rnacentral:lncRNA from 1 species